AGUUUGAUCCUGGCUCAGGAUGAACGCUAGCGGCAGGCCUAAUACAUGCAAGUCGAGGGGUAGUUGGAGCUUGCUCCGAUGAGACCGGCGCACGGGUGCGUAACGCGUAUGCAACCUACCUUCAUCAGGGGGAUAGCCCGGAGAAAUCCGGAUUAACACCGCAUAACAUCAUUUCAUAGCAUUGUGGGAUGAUCAAACAUUUAUGGGAUGGAGAUGGGCAUGCGUGCCAUUAGCUAGUUGGCGGGGUAAGGGCCCACCAAGGCUACGAUGGCUAGGGGAUCUGAGAGGAUGGCCCCCCACACUGGUACUGAGACACGGACCAGACUCCUACGGGAGGCAGCAGUAAGGAUUAUUGGUCAAUGGGGGCAACCCUGAACCAGCCAUGCCGCGUGCAGGAAGACUGCCCUACGGGUUGUAAACUGCUUUUAUCCGGGAAUAAACCUUUCUACGUGUAGAGAGCUGAAUGUACCGGAAGAAUAAGGAUCGGCUAACUCCGUGCCAGCAGCCGCGGUAAUACGGAGGAUCCAAGCGUUAUCCGGAUUUAUUGGGUUUAAAGGGUGCGUAGGCGGCCUAUUAAGUCAGGGGUGAAAGACGGUGGCUCAACCAUCGCAGUGCCUUUGAUACUGGUAGGCUUGAAUGUAGUUGAGGUAGGCGGAAUGUGACAAGUAGCGGUGAAAUGCAUAGAUAUGUCACAGAACACCGAUUGCGAAGGCAGCUUACUAAGCUAUGAUUGACGCUGAGGCUCGAAAGCGUGGGGAUCAAACAGGAUUAGAUACCCUGGUAGUCCACGCCCUAAACGAUGAUAACUCGAUGUUGGCGAUAUACAGUCAGCGUCCAAGCGAAAGCGUUAAGUUAUCCACCUGGGGAGUACGCCCGCAAGGGUGAAACUCAAAGGAAUUGACGGGGGCCCGCACAAGCGGAGGAGCAUGUGGUUUAAUUCGAUGAUACGCGAGGAACCUUACCCGGGCUUGAAAGUUACUGAAGAAUUUAGAGAUAGAUUCGUCCUUCGGGACAGGAAACUAGGUGCUGCAUGGCUGUCGUCAGCUCGUG
rnacentral:rRNA from 1 species